CACACUGCUCCUUGUACUUGCUUCAUUUCUUCCCCCCGCCAUUCAGAAGGUGCCCUGCAAAUUUUCCCAAGAAAAUGGCUUUGGAGAUCUGUGUCAAGGCAGCUGUUGGUGCUCCUGACAUUAUCGGAGGCUCCCAUUCUCCCAGAGAGCUCUCUUGACUUUGGAACAGAAGAAACUUUCCUGCAAGUUGCGUCUGAUCAAUCUCAGUGACAAGCCUCAGUGGUAUCAGAAUCAGCUAAUCGUUUGAGCCUAUGCAUGUUUAAUAAAAAAAUUUCCAACAUUAAAAGUAAUAAAUUGAAUUUAAAACUAGUUAAAAAUUAGAGGGGAGGUGUCGAUAAUGUAUUCAAUUUAUAGUGUUAUUGAAAUGAGAUCUAAAUAGUACUAAUUAUUUUGUAUUAAUUUUGUUAUGAACUAACUGAAUGUUUUUAAGUUUGAUAUUAUAUCCACAUCUGUAUUCAACAUAGCUUCUCAUGGGUGUUUGCAAUUACAGCUAUUGAACCACAAAAACAUUUUGCUUAGAGCUUUUGUAAGCCAGUACUUCAGAAAUAAUGAUUCAGAUGAUACAGUGUAAAUCCACAACAAGCUCAGAAUAGAAGUUCAUCCUUAUUUAAUAGCUUUGUUAAGGGGGAGAAUUUAGAGGUUAAAGCGAAUAAUAGCUGGGACUGACAGCAGGACUGCAAAAUAUAAGCUAGAGUGUAGCUUUGUAAGUGCAUUUUGGUUUCAGACGUCCCACAUUGAAUAAAAGAGAAGUGAGGGGUCAGUGAGGACUUUAUAAAAGGACAAGAGAAACGCUCAAAUAACUCAGGCAGCCACGUGAUGAGCACAAAGCGAACUAUUCUUUCGCCUUUUACUAAAGAAUACCGUGUGCUCGUCACAUACAGUGGCAUACUCUAAUUUUUGGAGGGCCUGCCUUCUUCGAAGGGGUCCA